GCUUGAACUUCCACAAGGACACAAAAACACCAUAGUCCACUCACACUAUAUUCCAGGUCUUCUGAAUCCAUAUGAUAGGUGUGUGUAAAAGAUAGACACACCUGUACACACACACACACACACACACACACACACACACACACACACACACAUAUAUAUAUAUAGUCACACAUAGUUAUUGUACGGCUUCAGAUGACUAAUACAUUUAAAACAAUACUUUUUUUAUUUUUUAAUGAAAUUAAAAAAAUGAAAAAGAGUAAUUUUUAGGUUUAAAGUUCGUUCGUUUGUUUGUUUGUUUCUUUUUACUAAAGAAAGUGAGACAGGUUUGGCGCAACAUGAGAGUGAAUGAUGAUAGAAUCUUCAUUUUAAGGUGAACUCUCAUUAAAACAUGCAUUCAAUGAAAAGGGUAAUUAAAGUACAGUUUGCAUUUUGUUAAAUUGUAUAGGCAAUUAGUUAAUCCUUAAAUGUUUAUUAUCUGAGUAUUUUGUACCAGAAUUGUUAUUGUUGGAAUCUUAGCACUCAGGAAAAAAAAAAAAGAAAAAAAAAUCUGACAACCAGAGGGGACCCCCCCCCCCCAGAAAAAAUACACAAAAUGUUGUAACAUUUGUACUGAACAAUGUGCAGUUAAAUUGAUAACACAGCAAAUAAUUUUUGUUUGUGUGUAGCUCACAGCGGGCAGUUUACUUUCCAGCUUGCUUAUUCGGUACAACACAUCUGUCACGAGAUCUCUUGGGUAUGUCCUCAGUUCUGAAUCAACUUUUUGAUGAAUUCUUAAUAUUUUCACUCUGACAAUAACACUUACUCUUUAUGAGAAUGAGUCCUACAUGAAAAAUCUUAUCCAAAACAUCCAGAAAACACCAGAGACAAAGGCUGACAAUGAUAACAGGAAGAUCUGGGAAGAGGAACAGCAGAUAUCACGCAGUUCUACAGCAAUGGGAAACAAUGGUCUAUAUCCAUGCUCACAGGAUUGGUUGCUCAAGUCUCCUGUCCUAUCUUCCUCAGUCAAGGCCGGGUCAGUGCUGAAGUUUUGUAAGUAUCUUUUCACAGGAGAACACAAGAUCCACAUGACUGUCUAUUUUCUCCCAACAAAGCAACAUUGAAAUCCGUCAUCUGCAACUCAUGAUCACCCUGGAAUAGGGUGAGUAAUGUAAUCCCCCUCAAGAAACACUUCUUUCAAGCAGAGCUGUGGAUGCUGUUGAGCGUAGUAGGCUUUAUUUUAUUUUUUUUAACACAGAUUAAUUAUUUAUUUAUUUGAACUUAAUAUUUUGAUUUUAGCCGUGGUUCAAUUUCAGCAAAUGCAUCUUCGGCCUUAACAGAAUGCAGAUGACAUCAACUCACAAUUAGGGAGUACAUAUAUACCCACCCACUCAAAUGACCUGAUCUUUCAAUCACAACAUGGCUAAGUCUAUUAAAGAUUUAUAUGACCGCAAGAACACUUAUAAAACUGCAAAAUGACAUGUACGUAAACACUCACCUUAUCAAUUUUCUUUAUACAUCUCCAGCAUAAUUGAUGGUUUAUGAUGAGUAGCUUGGAGCUUGCUGGACCAGAAAAGACCAGAUCUAAUUUUCUUCUUAAUCUUGUGCAACUUCUAGCAGUCUGACUCAAAGUCUCAGCCCAAAUAGGAGAGUAAGGCACUCCAUAAAUCUGCACAGGCCAGGCCUUCACUGGUCAGGAACGUCAUGGGAGUGUCAGGCUGGUCUCCGCUGGGGUUUUUGGGGCAGGAUUAUGGAUUGAGACACACAGCUGAGAGGCUAAACUUACACUUUUCAUUCCAACUUCAAGGGGGUCUCGAUACAUCCUAGGAGCCAGAUUCCAGACCUUUCAUUUUGCCCCAUUAAUGAAUGGACCUUUAAGUACUGUUUUAUUCAAUGGUUAUUUUAUGAUGUGCAGUUGAAAAUUAAAAUCUCCCUGAGAAAUAAAACUAAAAAUAACAGUUGCUGGGUUUUUUUU
ensembl:lncRNA